CCUACGUGAGGCAGCAGUGGGGGAUAUUGGACAAUGGGGGAAACCCUGAUCCAGCGACGCCGCGUGAGUGAAGAAGUCUUUCGGUAUGUAAAGCUCUAUCAGCAGGGAAGAAAGAAAUGACGGUACCUGAGUAAGAAGCCCCGGCUAACUACGUGCCAGCAGCCGCGGUAAUACGUAGGGGGCAAGCGUUAUCCGGAAUUACUGGGUGUAAAGGGAGCGUAGACGGUAAUGCAAGUCUGGAGUGAAAGGCGGGGGCUCAACCCCCGGACUGCGCGGGAAACUGUGUAACUGGAGUGCAGGAGAGGCAGGCGGAAUUCCUAGUGUAGCGGUGAAAUGCGUAGAGAUUAGGAGGAACACCAGUGGCGAAGGCGGCCUGCUGGACUGUAACUGACGUUGAGGCUCGAAAGCGUGGGGAGCAAACAGGAUUAGAUACCCCAGUAGUC
rnacentral:rRNA from 1 species